UGGGGAAUAUUGGACAAUGGGCGAAAGCCUGAUCCAGCCAUGCCGCGUGUGUGAAGAAGGUCUUCGGAUUGUAAAGCACUUUAAGCUGGGAGGAAGGGCAGUAAGCGAAUACCUUGCUGUUUUGACGUUACCGACAGAAUAAGCACCGGCUAACUCUGUGCCAGCAGCCGCGGUAAUACAGAGGGUGCGAGCGUUAAUCGGAUUUACUGGGCGUAAAGCGUGCGUAGGCGGCUGAUUAAGUCGGAUGUGAAAUCCCUGAGCUUAACUUAGGAAUUGCAUUCGAUACUGGUCAGCUAGAGUAUGGGAGAGGAUGGUAGAAUUCCAGGUGUAGCGGUGAAAUGCGUAGAGAUCUGGAGGAAUACCGAUGGCGAAGGCAGCCAUCUGGCCUAAUACUGACGCUGAGGUACGAAAGCAUGGGGAGCAAACAGG
rnacentral:rRNA from 1 species